GAUGAACGCUGGCGGCGUGCCUAAUACAUGCAAGUCGAGCGAACAGACGAUGAGCUUGCGCCUCUGACGUUAGCGGCGGACGGGUGAGUAACACGUGGAUAACGUACCUGUAAGACUGGUAUAACUUGGGGACAGCGGAGCUUAUAGCGUAUGAUAUAUUGCACCGCAGUGGUCAAUAGUGAUAGACGGUUUUGCUGUCUCUUAUAGAUGGAUAUGAGCUGCAUUAGCUAGUUGGGAAGGUAACGGCUUAUCACGGGUAGGAUGCGUAGCCGAACUGAGAGGGUGAUCGGCCACACUAGAGCUGGAACACCGUCCAGACGCCUGCGGGAGGCAGCAGAAGGGAAUCUGCCGCAAAAGGCGAAAGCAUUACGGAACAACGCCGAGUGUGUGGUGAAGGCCUUCGGAGCGUAAAGCUCUGUUAUUAGGGAAGAACAAAUGUGUCAGUAGCUAUGCCCGUCUUGACGGUACCGAAUCAGAAAGCCACGGCUAACUACGUG
rnacentral:rRNA from 1 species